rfam:Picoides pubescens contig3998, whole genome shotgun sequence.
ACUCCCCUUGAUAAGGAUGGAAGAGGCCCUUGUGGCCUAUACAACAUGCAUAUGGUUAAAGCACUGCCACCUACUUCAUGGCAUCUAACCAUGCUUUCUU